GUAUCCAAGUGGUUUGAGCGUCCGCCUCUGAUGCGGGAGGUCGCGGGUUCGAUCCCCGACCGAAUCA